AUGGAAAGGAGCAAGGAGGACAUUAUGUCCUUUUUUGCCCCUGUUGGCAAAAAGCAACAUAGAGAGAGUAAGGAAGAUAAAGAUUAUGAAAGAGGAGAGAGAGCCAGAGGUGGUGGUUGGAGAGGUGGAAAGUGAGGCAUCUGAAAGGCAAUCUGAGAGUGAGGAUGAAGACAUUCAGGAUCAGAUUGAGGGACAGAAUGAGGGACAACCCAACAAGUCAUUGGGACAACCAGAUUCACCAUGCAUAUCAAGUACAGCACAGAUAUCAGCAAGUGCUUGGACAACACUCCAGUGCAGCCACGUCUGAAGAAAAGGUUCAUUGUAUGCAAAAAUAGAAAUCUUAUUUUACAAAAAAGAGAAACAUGGUUUUAAGAUUUACUGAGCACAAUUUAUUUUAUGUUUAGGCUAUUGAGACAGAAUGUUUAUCUCAUUGUAUUUAUGCUCAAUGUAUUUUGUUUUGGUUUUAAAUAAACUAAACAAAACAUUUUGAACGCCUAAA